rnacentral:rRNA from 1 species
AUUGAACGCUGGCGGCAGGCCUAACACAUGCAAGUCGGGCGGAUGAAGGGAGCUUGCUCCUGAAUUCAGCGGCGGACGGGUGAGUAAUGCCUAGGAAUCUGCAUGGGAGUGGGGGAUAACGUCCGGAAACGGGCGCUAAUACCGCAUACGUCCUGAGGGAGAAAGUGGGGGAUCUUCGGACCUCACGCUAUCAGAUGAGCCUAGGUCGGAUUAGCUAGUUGGUGGGGUAAAGGCCUACCAAGGCGACGAUCCGUAACUGGUCUGAGAGGAUGAUCAGUCACACUGGAACUGAGACACGUUCCAGACUCUUACGGUAGGCAGCAGUGGGGAAUAUUGGACAAUGGGCGAAAUCCUGAUCCAGCCAUGCCGCCGGUGUGAAGAAGGAUUUCGGAUAUUAAAACUCUUGAUGUCAGUAGGAAGGGCAGUAGCAUAAUACCCUGCUUUCUUGACGCUACCAACAGAAUAAGCACCGGCUAGCUUCGUA